ACAUCCGCCUCGCGGCCUCCUGUUGGAAUGUGGAAGUGUUUAAACGCUGUGUGGAGGAUUCUGACAUCGACCUCAGCAAGGGCCAGCUCUCGAAGGAGCAGUGCGGUUCCUUCAAAUCGUCAGUCCGCAAGUGCAUCGAGAAAAGUCAGAAGCAUUGUAAACACGACGUCAAGAGUGCGAGCAAGCUGUCGUCGGCCUUCUUCGGCGCUUACAACUGCGCCCCAGAGCAUGACGAAAUCCCUGCGGAGAAGCCGAAAUCCGGGAACAGCGG
rnacentral:lncRNA from 1 species